rnacentral:rRNA from 1 species
AACGAACGCUGGCGGCAGGCUUAACACAUGCAAGUCGAACGCCCCGCAAGGGGAGUGGCAGACGGGUGAGUAACGCGUGGGAAUCUACCCAUCCCUACGGAAUAACGCAUGGAAACGUGUGCUAAUACCGUAUACGCCCUACGGGGGAAAGAUUUAUCGGGGAUGGAUGAGCCCGCGUUGGAUUAGCUAGUUGGUGGGGUAAAGGCCUACCAAGGCGACGAUCCAUAGCUGGUCUGAGAGGAUGAUCAGCCACAUUGGGACUGAGACACGGCCCAAACUCCUACGGGAAGCAGCAGUGGGGAAUAUUGGACAAUGGGCGCAAGCCUGAUCCAGCCAUGCCGCGUGAGUGAUGAAGGCCUUAGGGUUGUAAAGCUCUUUCACCGGAGAAGAUAAUGACGGUAUCCGGAGAAGAAGCCCCGGCUAACUUCGUG